GAUCUGCUCCCGGACUCCUUCAGCGCGCUGCCUGCCUGCCCAGGGCCUUCCCGGAGAGCAGGUGACGGCGGCCUCCGGGCAUGGAGCUCGCGCUGACGAAAGGUUCUGGAAGCCGCCGUAAAAAGUAAUCAAGAAACGGGUGACAGGACUUUUCGUAAGACAUUUAAUUUUUACCCAGAGUAUCCGAAACAUUGCCGUGUCAAUCUCAGUGCGAUGGGAGACUGCCGGCCCCAAGGAGCUGCUCGUCCUUCUGCCGAGUUCCGGCCCGGACCCGCGGAGGAGGAGACCGCCGCGCCGGAGCUCGGACCUGACGUUUUUGUGAAGCACAGGGGGCGUGGGAGGGACCGGAUCAAUGCGGCACUCAACAAAACCUGUUUUUAAAAGAGUCGUGCUGUGUCGCCCAGGCUGGAGUGCAGUGACGCGAUCUCGGCUCACUGCAGCCUCCACCUUCCGGGCUCAAGCGAGCCUCCCGCCUCAGCCUCCUGAGUAGCUGGGAUUACAGGCACACACCUCCAGCUCGGCUGUUUUAUUUAUUUAUUUUUUUUUUGAGACGUAAUUUAGCUCAUGUUGACCAGGCUGGAGUGCAGUGGCGCGAUCUGGGCUCACCGCAACCCCCGCCUCCCGGGUUCAAGCGAUUUUCCGCCUCAGCCUCCUGAGUAGCUGGGGUUGCAGGCAUGCGCCACCACGCCCGGCUAAUUUUGUACUUAUAGUAGAGACGGGGUUUCUCCAUGUUGGUCAGGCUGGUCUCGAACUCCCGACCUCAGGUGCUCCGCCCGCCUUGGCCUCCCAAAGUGCUGGGAUUACAGGCGUGAGCCACCUCUCCAGGGCCAAAAGCCUUUUAUUGGAGUACUGGGUAACACAUUCAGAAGAGGGUGCAUAGCUUAGGCGCUCCGUGAAUUUUCACAAACUGAACAUACACCCAGGUAGCCAACACCCCCAGCAAGCCCCAGAAUCCCCUCAUGCUUGCUUUCUGCCACUAUCAAGCAGUUUGCUUUCUUUCAGAUUUUUAAGUUUUGAAAUAAUUAUUGAAAUGUACAGGGAGAAGUCUGGGUUGGUGGUUCUAACCUGUAGUCUCAGCUACUAGAGAGGCUGAAGGGGGAAGAUGGCUUUAGCCCUGGAUUUCUAGACUAGCCUGGACAACAUAGCAAGACCUCAUCUCUAUUUGUUUUUGAGACAGAGCCUCGGUCUGUCACCCAUGCUGGAGCGCAGUGGACCUCCGCCUCCCGGGUUCAAGUGAUUCUUCUUUCUCAGCCUCCCGAGUUAUUUGGGAUUACAGGUGUGCGCCACCACGCCCAGCUAAUUUUUUUGUAUUUUUAGUAGAGACGGGUUUCACCAUGUUGGCCAGGCUGGUCUUAAACUUCUGACUUAAGGUGAUCUGCCCGUCUCGGCCUCCCAAAGUGCUGGGAUUACGACGUCAGCCACUGCUCUUGGCCUAUCUUUUUUUUUUUUUUUUUUUUUAAAAGAAAGAGAUGUAUAGGGAGAUCACCCAGUAUCCCUCAGUGUUAACAUCUUGCAUAGCUACAGUUAGCAUAGAAGCCAGGUAAUUGACAUUGGUACUGUACAUGGGACUUACUCAGAUUUACACGUUUUUUAAUGUUUUAUGUGUAUGUAGUUCUCUAUUCUCUACCAUUUUUAUGAGAGUUCCAGUUGCCUUGCAUUCCCACCAGCACUUAGUAUUGUCAGAUUUAUCAUUAUUUAGGUAUUCUGGUAGGUGUAUGGUGGAAUCUCACCAUAGUUUUAAUUUCUUCUCUUUUUUUAAAAAAUAGGAACAAGGUCUCACCAUGCUGCCCAAGCUGGUCUGAAAACUCUUGUCCUCAGGCAGUCCUCCCACCUCGGCCUCCCAAAGAUCUGAGAUUACAGGCAUGAGCCACCACACCUGGCCUUGGUUUUAAUUCCUGUCACAGUAUAUUAGUUUUCGCUGUUGUGUAUUGAUUGAUUGAGACAGGGUCUCGCUCUGUUGCCCAGGCUGGAGUGCAGGGGCAUGAUCCCAGCUCACUGCAACCUCCACCUCUUGGAUUCAAGUGAUUCUCCCGUCUCAGCCUCCCGAGUAACAGGAACCACAGGUGUGUGCCAGCACGCCUGGCUAAUUUUUUUUUUUUUUUUCUUGAGGUGGAGUUUCACUGUUGUUGCCCAGGUUGGAGUGCAGUGGCACAAUCUCAGCUCACUGCAACCUCUGCCUCCUGGGUUCAAGUGAUUCUCCUGCUUCAGCCUCACGAGUUGUUGGGAUUACAGGCGCCCGCCACCACGCCCAGGUAAUUUUUGUUUAGUAGAGACGGGGUUUCACCAUGUUGGCCUGGCUGGUCUCGAACUCCUGACCUCAGGUGAUCCACCCACCUCGGCCUCCCAAAGUUGUGGGAUUGCAGGCGUGAGCCACUGCGCCUGGCCUAAUUUUUCAAUUUUUUGGUGGAGAUAGGGUUUCACCAUGUUGGCCAGGCUGGAGUUUUGCCUGUUCUAGAAGCUUGUAUCAGUCAUACAACACGUAAGUUCUUUUUGUCUAGCUUCUUUUGCUCAACACAAUAUCUCUGAGAUUUAUUUAUGUUUUUAUGUAAACAUAAAUGUUCAUUUUUCUUGCUAAGUACUAUUUCAUUGUAUGAAUAGACCACAGUUUGUUUAUCCAUUCACCUAGUGGUGGACAUUUUAUUUAUUUUUAUUUAUUUAUUUAUUUAUUUAUUUUUGAGACAGAGUCUUGCUCUGUCGCCCAGGCUGGAGUGCAAUAGCUCAAUCUCAGCUCACUGCAGCCUCUGCCUCCCAGGUUCAAGCCAUUCUCCUGUCUCAGCCUCCCGAGUAGCUGGGAUUACAGGCACACACCACGACACCCUGCUACUUUUUGUAUUUUUAGUAGAGACAGGGUUUCACCAUGUUGGUCAGGCUGGUCUUGAACUCCUGGCCUCGUGAUCCAUCCACCUCGGCCUCCCAAAGUGCUGGGAUUACAGGCAUGAGCCACCGCACCUGGCCAUGGUGGACAUUUAUGUUGUUUCCAACUUAGGGCUAUUAUAACUAGAUUUUAGUAGCUACCAUCCCCCAAAUGCAUGGUACCAAUUUUCUCUCCUACCAACAGCAUGUAAGGUGACAGUUCAGGAGAAGUGUCCUAAGCAUGUGUCAUGGACCCUGUUUGGGGGGUGAUUUCUUUGAGGCGGGGCCAGGCAUUCUUGGUUCUCUGUGGCCUCCCCUGCCCUAUUUUUUUUUUUUUAGAUGAAGUUUCACUUUUGUCACCCAGGCUGGAGUGCAGUGGUGCUAUCCCGGCUCACUGCAACCUCCGCCUCCUGGGUUCAAGCGAUUCUCCUGCCUCAGCCUCCCGAGUAACUGGGAUUACAGGCAUGCACCACCGUGCUCAGCUAAUUUUUGUAUUGUUAGUACAGACAGGAUUUUGCCAUGUUGGCCAGGCUGGUCUCCAACCCCUGGCCUCAACUGAUCCACCUGCCUUGGCCUCCCGAAGUGCUGGUAUUAUAGGCAUAAGCCACCGCGCCUGGCUGGUCCCCUGCCCUAUUUUAAGAGUCUCUAUUAGGGAUAAACUUCAUGGAAAAUGUAUGUCUGUUCUAAGAAUGUUCUCAAGUGUCAUUACCUUGUGCUGUAUCUGUUUCCUCUUUACGAGGAUUCUCAGAAGAAAUUCUUGCCGAGUCUCAAUAGUUGAAAUAAUUUCACUCCUUCCAAGCAUUUGGUUUGCUCUUAUUUUAAGGACACUGAAUUGGGCAGGUGGUCAAGUUACACACAUGUGAGGGACUGAAAUAUAUGGUGUCAUUUUUUCCCGUUAGUCUUACGAAUGGUUCCAUACUGUGUGCCUUCCUGUUUUUCUUCCACUAGUACUUCCAGUUCGUGCUUUCUUGCUAUAUUUUAUAGAGAAAGGCCAUUUCUAUGUCUUUCUGGUACUGGGUGGGUUAUAAUAAAAACGUGCCUUUGGUGCCAUGAUUUGGGGGUGUCUUUGGCCGUGCAGCAGAGCGAUGCCCCAGCUCUGCUAGAUGUUUGAAGGGCUAUUGAGUGGAAGAGGGGUCCCUUCCUGUGACCUUGGCCCCCUUAUCAGUUGACUAACUGGCCCCAGACCAGUAUGUAAAGCACAUGCAAAUCCUCAAACAGCCUCUUGGAGCCAGCUGGCCAUGCUGUCCUCAGCUUCAGAUUUUUUUGUGUUUCUGGCUCCACGGUGUUCCCCCGCAUCCUAGUCCAUCCUCCUGUCCUUUCUUGAACCAGCUGUCUGUCUGUGCUUUCCUCGAUGCUGUGUGGCCUUGUAGCAUUUGUCAUUUUCACUCUGUUGAGUUGGCCGGCUUGGCCUCCCUUGUCCUGCAGGUCCUGGGCAGGGAUGGCGUUAUAUCAUCCUCUGCCUUUGUCUCCUUUCUCCUCUUGCCCUGCUGAGUCGCAAGUUUAUUCUGUUGGUUGACAAGAACCUGUGCUGACAGAGGAGGGGAUAGGACUGGGGGCUGCGGCAGGACCAGCUCUAAAUCUGGCAGCUGAAGAAAGGAAUGAGUUCCCCAAAGCAGCUUCUCCCACCACACCCCCGAUUGAGAAAACAAGGAGCUGGCCGGGCAUGGUGGCUCGCGCCUGUAAUCCCAGCACUUUGGGAGGCCAAGGCAGGUGCAUCACCCAAGGGCAGGAGUUCAAGACCAGCGUGGCCAACAUGGCGAAACUCCGUCUCUAUUAAAAAUACAAAAAUUAGCUGGGCAUGGUGGUGCCUGCCUGUAAUCCCAGCUACUAGUGGGGCUGAGGCAGGAGGAUCGCUUGAACCUGGGAGGUGGAGGUUGCAGUGAGCUGAGAUCGUGCCACUGCACUCCAGCCUGGGCAACAGAGCAAGACUGCAUCUCAAAACAACAACAACAAAGGCUGGUCGUGGUGGCUCACUCCUGUAAUCCUAGUACUUUGGGAGGCCAAGGCGGGCGGAUUGCCUGAGCUCAGGAGUUCGAGACCAGCCUGGGCUACACGGUGAAACCCGUCUCUACCAAAAUACAAAAAAUCUGUAGUCGCAGCUACUCAGGGGGCUGAGGCAGGAGAAUUGCCUGAACCCUGGAGGUGGAGCUUGCAGUGAGCCGAUAUCGUGCCACUGCACUCCAGCUUGAGUGACAGAGCAAGACUCCGUCUCCAAAAAAAUAAAUAAAUAAAAAUAAAUUAAAAAAAAUUAGGAGCUAAGAAUGACAGCUGCAAAGUUGCCUGAAUUAGGGGGCCCAAGUCAAGUUUUCCCCAGGGUGCCGGCUAUCUUGGUGGAUGGCCUCAAUAAAUAGGCAGGUGAUUUGUGAAGGUUGAAGGGGUUGCAGGUGCCACACACAUCAGCGGUUAGUCUGUUGAUACACAUUUAUUAUCUCUCCUAUUGUCUCCUGCCCUAUGGGAGAUGUAGACAGUGCUCUGAACGUUCUGGUUGCAAAGAGAAUUGACAAACUGCUGUUCUCCAGCCUGACCAACAUGAUGAAACCCCAUCUAAAAAUACAAAACAAUUAGCCGGACUGUAGUGGUGCACGCCUGUAAUCGCAGCUACUCAGAAGGCUGAGGCAGGAGAAUUGCUUGCAUCCAGGAGGUGGAGGUUGCAGUGAGCUGAGAUCACGCCAUUGCACUCCAGCCUAGGCGACAGAGUGAGUCUCUGUAUCUGCUGUUCUGUUGUAGGAGAAGGAGAUGUCAGGUAUAAGGGUUAGCAGGGGGUGGCUUGGUUGCGAUCAGGAGAGAGGUAGUGCUCAUUCUCCAUGGGAUCCUUGUGGUGCAUGUCCCUGGCUUUUUUUUUUUUUUUGAGAUGGAGUCUCACUCUGUCACCCAGGCUGGAGUGCAGAGGCACAAUACUCGGCUUACUCGGCUCUGCCUCCUGGGUUCAUGCAUUUCUCCUGCCUCAGCCUCCUGAGUAGCUGGGAUUACAGGUGUGCACCACCACGCCUGGUAUUUUUAGUAGAGAUGGGGUUUCUCCACGUUGGCCAGGCUGGUCUCAAACUCCUGACCUCAAGUGCCGCGGUUUGCCACAGUUACCACGGGACUAAACGAAGGGGUACGAACGUAGAAAUGAAAACUUAAAACAAAAGAAACUGUUUUAAAGGAAGGGGCCAGGGGAAGAAGAAGAGGGCUCCCUGCUUCUAGUGAGCAAGGGCAGCCGCCUUGAACCUCUACCGCCCUUCAUACUCAUUCGGUAGAAAGAGCAGGGUGGAGGAGGUAACAAUUGGUCAGCUGCUUGAUUGAUCACAGGUUCACCUUAUCUCAUUACAAGAAACACUUGUGCUGGGUCGUGACUGCCCUCAGCAUUCCUUCUGGGUGGCAGACGCAGUUUGUCAGUUUGCCAACACCCUGCUUUCAUGAAAACAGUUUGCUGUUUACUCAUAUAGCCUCCAGUGGUGCACUGAGUUGAUCACGACCCUCACUCUUUCGGCCUGCAACACUCAAGUGAUCCACCUGCCUCGGCUGCCCAAAGUGUUGGGAUUACAGGCAUGAGCCACCACGCCCGGCCUGCUCCUGGCUUUUGGCUGAAAGUUGAGACUUAGAAGUUGGGAGGAGACCUGGAGCACCGUGGCUAGUUCUAGGCCCUACACUCUUCAGAACAGCAGAGCUGUAGCUGUCUGCCCUUUGAGGAACCGUUUGAGGUGUGGCACGAUACAGCAAGUCAGCUGCCAAAGAGGGGCUUAGCCACAGGAAGUGCGUGCCCAGAACGCAUCUCCCGUGUCCCUCACAGCAGUUCUAUGAGGCUGGCUGCCCUGUUUGACAACUGAGGCCCGCAUCUUCCCCGGAAUCACCGACGUGUGGCUCUGAGCCCUGUCCCAGGGAUUUUCUCCAUCAGAGAAGAGGAGCACUUUGAGCUUUGAGAGGAGCAGCCCUCUGCAAGUGAAGUGGAAAAAAAGGAAGCAGGCGAGGAGGCCCAUCCAGACCCUCCCCCAAGACCCUUGCUGAAAUGGCUGGGAUGCGGCGUGCAGAAGCUCUCCUUUCCUUCACAGCCCCUGGCUUUCCAAGAGUCCCUGCCCACCCAGAUGCCCGCUGGCAGAUGCAGCCUCAUCUCAAGGACACUGCUUGCUGGAUAAAUCCCUCACCACCCUAGAGACAGCCCACGGUCCUGAGACAAGGAUGCGGGCCAGGCUUGUUGCACGUAAGCGCCUCCCGCAGAAACCAGUGAGGCCGGAGUUCCAGAGGAAAUGAUGUAGGGACAGAGGCAGAGGGCCUCCAGGAGGCACCAGCCCCAGAGUCUUCCCUAGAAUCAGACUUUAAGCACAAGCAGGGAGGGAAAGCACUUGAGCAGUGCCCGUCCCUGCAUACCUGGCCUCUGCUGGAACCCAUGCAGGGACAGGACACUUCUUUAUCAGCAAUCCUGUUCCUCUCCUGGGCAGCUUCAACCUGAACAUCCUCCUUCACCUUGAGCUAAAAUGGGUUUCUUGUCACCCUUGCCCAUCAAACCUGGCCUUGCCCUCAGGAACCACACAGGACAAGCCUAAUACUUCCUUCUUGUGGCAACACUUUAGCAAUUGAGACCUGGCUGUCAGGUCCUCCAAAUAAACAUUUGUGACUGUGAUGUUGACUUGCCGCUUCUGGGGACCUCUUCUCAUUUGAUCGGAGAAAGUUUUUCAGGGUUAAACCUACUUCUUUCCCCCAAGAAACUCUUCUUGUCAGGCUCACGCCUAUAAUCCUGGCACUUUGGGAGGCCAAGGCAGGAGGAUUGUUUGAGACCAGCCUGGGCAACGUAGGUAGACUAUGUUGCUACAAAAAGAAAAAGAAAAAAUGGCCAGGUGUAGUAGUCCCAGCUGCUUGGAGGCUGAGGUAGGAGGUUUGCUUGAGCCCAGGAGGUCGAGGCUGCAGUGAGCUAUGAUUGUGCCACUGCACUCUAGCCUGGGAGACAGAAUGAGGCCCUGUCUCAAAAAAAAAAAAAAAAAAAAAAAGAUGAUGAAACUCCUCACGUAUUUCUCCCCGGAGCAUGUGCUCCCAGGCUCAAAUCCACAGCAGCCUCGUUACACACACGUCAUCCCCUGGCCCCGAGAUAUUGCACCGCCUUCCCCUUUCUAGCUCUGAACCCCCACAUGAAGCAGCCAGACGUAGGAAAACCCAGAUUCAUAAAGCGCUGAUAUGGGUGGUCCUUUACCAAAGGAUUUUCUGCUUUACAAAGUAAUUCACCAAAUGAUUUCCCUAGAGUAUGGGCAGAGAUUUGCAAACUACAGCUUGGAACCAAGCUGCCUUUUUUUUAUAAUAAAGUUUUAUCAGGAUGCAUCCACAUCCAUUCAUCUCUGUGGUGCCAGCUGCUCUAGCUACACAGGCAGAGUGGAAGAGUUGCAGAUGGCCAACAAAACCUAAACUGUUUACCGCCUGGCCCCUUAUAGAAGCAGCUGGCUGACGCUGGCUCCAGGGCAUCAGAAAUGGGACCAUUGGAAAGGAGUAGCCGGGCUACAUGGUUUUUCUUCUGCCCCACGUCUUGUUCUCAAACAUGCUUCCUCCCCAGUCAUCUGAGGAAUGUCAGUCUGAGACAGUCAGGAGCAGGUGUGCCUAGGGAUGCAUGGUUUCUGAAAAUGGGGUGGGGUCUUUUAGGCUGAGGGCUCUGGCAGCUUCUGUCUGAAGGCUGAGCUGAGCUGAGCAGAGCUGGGCAUGGUGGCUCACGCCUGUAGUCCCGGCUACUCAGGAGGCCAAGGUGGGAGAAUCACUUGAGCCUGGGAAGUUCAGAGGAGCCUGGGCAACACAGUGAGACCUCAUCUUUAUUUUUUGAAAUUUUUUGUUUUUAUUAUUUUUUUAAUUUUUAGGAGCAGAGGGUUAAUAGGCAAAAGAAAGAGAGAGAGGAAAACAGCUCUCUCCAGUGAGAGAGAGGGUACUUCUGAAAGGAAAACGCCACCGGCAGCAGAUGCACUGGAUUUUAUAGUCAGGCUUGAGGAGGUGGUGUCUGAUUUACAUAGGGCUCACAGAUUGGUUCAGUCAGGUAUGAUGUUUACAUAGCGCUGGGGUGUGGGGAAGGCUGACCUCCCCACUCUAAUCUUAUUAUGCAAAUGAACUUUCCCCUUGGCCAGCACCAUCUUGUCUGCUCCUUACUGUGCACGUGGCUGGCAGAGAAGGGAAGAUGGAGCCGCCAUUUUGAACAUGAUUGGCACAACUGCCUGCAUCUAUGUCUGCAGCUCGAUUUUACACGCUGCUCUUUGUUAGAAAGGAAAAUGAUUUGGGGCUGCUUUUCAGUAAAAGGAAAACCUUACUGAGGACUUCUGUAUCCUCACUAUCUAAGUAAUUUCCUCUUAACUCCUGUAUCAUUCCCCACUCUGGAGUGGUAACCCUAACUGCUCUUCGGGGUUGUUUGAUGAUGACUCUUUCUGGCUACUUCAUACUUAAAAGGGGUGUUGUGUGGGGAACAGAAGCUAAGGGCUCCUCCUGGGGUCGAGCUAAGGGUCCUCGGAAAAAAGGCAUGUCCGUGCAUGGUUCUGUCUGCAGCACCAUUUAGAGUUUGAUUACUGUCAGCCAUUCUGAUGGGUUGUAACACUGGUUUGCCUCCACCAGAUGUUGAGAUAGUUUCCAGAUUCCAGAGAAACCAGG
rnacentral:lncRNA from 1 species